UACGAAGGGGGCUAGCGUUGCUCGGAAUUACUGGGCGUAAAGCGCACGUAGGCGGAUCCUUAAGUCGGUGGUGAAAUCCUGAAGCUCAACUUCAGAACUGCCUUCGAUACUGGGGGACCUUGAGUUCGGGAGAGGUGAGUGGAACUGCGAGUGUAGAGGUGAAAUUCGUAGAUAUUCGCAAGAACACCAGUGGCGAAGGCGGCUCACUGGCCCGAUACUGACGCUGAGGUGCGAAAGCGUGGGGAGCAAACAGG
rnacentral:rRNA from 1 species